UAGGGAAGAAAGAGCCAAGGG
rnacentral:piRNA from 1 species